rnacentral:rRNA from 1 species
GACGAACGCUGGCGGCGUGCUUAACACAUGCAAGUCGCACGGCAAGACCCUGCUUUCGUGCGGUGCUCGAGUGGCGCACGGGUGCGUAACACGAACGUAUCCUCCCCCUGACCUUCGCCACACUUCAGGACACCGGGGCUCAUACCGGUUCGGAGCUCCUGCUGUAUGGUGGGGGCGGGAAAGUCUCGGCGGUUGGGGAUGGACUGGCGGCUUAUCAGCUGGUUGGUGGGGUAGUGGCUUACCAAGGCUUUGACGGGUAGCCGGCCUGAGAGGGGGACCGGCCACAUGGGCAGAGUGAUACGGCCCGGAGUCGUAAGGGAGGCAGGAGUGGGGAAGAUUGCACGAUGGGGGGAAGCCGGAUGCAGCAUGGCCGCGUUCGGGAUGAUGGCCUGCGGGUUGGAGGCCGCUUUCGCCUGUGACGGAGCGUGUGUGACGGUAAUGGAUAAAGAAGCACCGGCUAACUACGUG